AAUAGUUACCAAAUUUUGUUGACUUAUAUGCUCUCUAAAACAAAACUUAAUUUUUUUUCUGAUUUUUAGUAUAAGGAAGCUAAACUAAGAUAAACAUUAGUUCACUCCUAUUAGGAAAUUGUUUAAUUGUUUUCUAUCAUUACUUACAUUUAAGAGAAUAUUACACGUAGAGGCACUAUUUCAAAACUUUGGACACAAUAGAACACUUUAAAACCAUUAGUCACUUUAACUCGGUAUAAUUACCCAUUUACCCUGAAAUCGUUGGUUUAAUAAAACAUAACAAAUUUAGCCGGUUUUCUCUAAUCCGGUUCCGGUUGAACCACGUAUUAUCAGUUACUGUCUGGGUUAAAUCUUCAUUUACCAACACGAUCGUAAAAAACCGCUUACCCAGUAAAAACCCUAAUUUACUGUAUCUCCACAUCGCGACUGCUCCCAAUCCGUCGACUGCUCCGAAUCCGGCGACUCCUCCGUCGCUGUCCAUCAAUCCGCCACUCAGGCGAGUCUAUACUCGCUGAAUAAAAACCAAAUAGUAAUUUCCCCCAAAUCUCUGCAAUAAUCGAAUUCGAUUUCGAUUUAUUGUUCUCGUAAGCCAGAUUCAUUAGCAUUCCAGUUGAUUCUCACUGAUCGGAAUACUCAAUGGAAGGUACAAAUCGUUUCCAAUCAUCUUAUUUUGGUCCAAUUAACUCAGAAGAAGAAAUCCUCUUCUCGCUGAAUGUUUCUGCAAUUUUUUUUUUGAAUCGAAAAAUGUUUCCCAAUUGUUUGUAGCUAAGCACAGACGUUUGUGGUUUUAGUAGUUUGUACAAAUACUCGUUAAUCUAAUCUUUAUCUCUUGAACUGGUUUCUUGCCAAUGAACAGGGUCGACAUCUCAGGAACCAUCUUCUCAGUGGGAUUCAAACCUUCCAAAUAGACUCUUCGCCACCGAUCAUUAUCCGAGGGGAAGGCUGAACGUAUACUCUAGACCGGAUAUUCUAUCCUUUAUCAAGAAGGUUUUUGAUGGGACAGAGGAUUUAGAUUUUAUACUUCAGUCUUGCUUUGGUCCUUUAUUCCAUUUGCCAGUUAGUAGGGUUGCGACUUCGGGUAAGGUCAUUCAUGCCUUGUUAUGUAGACCCGAUGACCCUAUGGAGGUAUACAUUUUCAACUAGUUCCUUGAUUUAUUGGACACCGGUGAGGGAUGCUUCAUCACUCAGUCCUUGUCCAAAAAAAUAUUUACAGGCCAAUUCUCCAGACUGUAAUUCUCCACAGGGCAAUGCAGCAUCUCAGUGCAUUCUAAAAGAUCCAAAUGGCCAUGAAGCAGAUGAUGAGGGAAAAAUCCAGGUACAAAAAUACAAACACAACACAUCAAACAAUUUAUUUUACAGGUUAUAGAUUCUCACAAAAUUGACUACUGUACUUUACAAUCAGUUUGAUUCAAGUGCAAACCUAAGCCAAAAAGAACAAUCUCCUCUCGAGCAAGACAAUAUUAUGGAGAUAAGCUUAUAUAUAAACCAAAUUAUUGUCAGAACUUUAUUAAACCAAAUUAUUGUCACAGCCCUUAAGACAUAUCUGUUUGUAAUUCAUAAUUCAGGAAACCUUGGAGACGGUUGAAGCUUCUCAUUCAGUGUUGGAGACGCAACCCGAAGAAAACAUUGACGAUGAUCAUAUGACGGAGGUAAGCUAAUACAUAAUUUGAUUUAACACAUUGGAUUUAGUCCUUAAUAUAAAUAAUGACUCUUGUGCAUAGUUAUUGUGGACAUGAUUUUGUGGAUACUUACUAGUGUACUUCAACAUUCAGGUUACUUUGGAGUCAGCUGCAACAUCUCACUCAGUCGAACUACCUCAACCCGAUGACCCUGUGGAGGUAUACAUUUUUAACUAGUUCCUUGCUUUAUUUGACACUGGAGAGGGAUGCUUCUUCUAUCAGAUCUUUUCCAAAACAACAUUUAUAAGCCAAUUCUCAACAGGGCAAGCCAAUACCUUUAAUCAUUACAUAUAUUAAUGGCUUUACAAAAAAUAAUCUAAAAAAACAACUACAAUUACUAAAAAUGGAUUAUAACUACUUUUCCUGUUAAAACAUCAUCUCCAUAUGGAUACGAGUUUAUGGAUAGUUAAACGGGAUUGCACAGAUUUGCGGUUUAGCAAGAUAUGCUAAUUAUAGACUAUUUUAACACAAUAAAUAAACAUAUAUACUUAUAUUUGGUACAUCAAGAACUAGGUUUACAGAAACGGAAAAACAUUUAUGGGAAUAUCUUACAAUAAGAAAUGAAAUAUUUUACAAAAACAUGGAAACUAGUUACAGAUCAUACAUUAAUUAACAACUUAAAUUCAAAAAUAAAAUUUCUCAUUGUAUUAGAUCAACUUGUCCUGUUAUGACCCAAUCUAAAAAAACAACUACACGUACUCAAAAUGGAUUAGAACUACUUUACCUGUUUAAAAAACAUCUCCAUAUGGAUAUGGCUUUAUGGAUAAGCAAACGGUAUUGCAGAGGAUUGCGAUACAAUCAGGAUAUAAAAUCAGCAA
rnacentral:sRNA from 1 species